CCUACGGGGGGCAGCAGUGAGGAAUAUUGGUCAAUGGGCGAGAGUCUGAACCAGCCAAGUAGCGUGAGGGAUGACGGCCCUAUGGGUUGUAAACUUCUUUUAUAUGGGAAUAAAAUGUUCCACGUGUGGGAUUCUGCAUGUACCGUAUGAAUAAGGAUCGGCUAACUCCGUGCCAGCAGCCGCGGUAAUACGGAGGAUCCGAGCGUUAUCCGGCUUUAUUGGGUUAAAAGGGAGCGUAGGCGGGUGUUUAAGUCAGUUGUAAAAUUUCGGGGCUCAACCGUAAAAUGCAGUUGAAACUGGAAGUCUUGAGUACAGAAGAGGUAGGCGGAAUUCGUGGUGUAGCGGUGAAAUGCUUAGAUAUCACGAAGAACCCCGAUUGCGAAGGCAGCUCACCGGACUGCGACUGACGCUGAGGCUCGAAAGUGCGGGUAUCAAACAGGAUUAGAUACCCGAGUAGUC
rnacentral:rRNA from 1 species